rnacentral:rRNA from 1 species
UACGAAGGGGGCUAGCGUUGCUCGGAAUUACUGGGCGUAAAGCGCACGUAGGCGGAUUGUUAAGUCGGGGGUGAAAUCCUGGAGCUCAACUCCAGAACUGCCUUCGAUACUGGCGAUCUCGAGUUCGGGAGAGGUGAGUGGAACUGCGAGUGUAGAGGUGAAAUUCGUAGAUAUUCGCAAGAACACCAGUGGCGAAGGCGGCUCACUGGCCCGAUACUGACGCUGAUGCACGAAAGCGUGGGGAGCAAACAGG